rnacentral:rRNA from 1 species
AAGCCUGAUCCAGCAAUGCCGCGUGUGUGAAGAAGGCCUUCGGGUUGUAAAGCACUUUUGUUAGGGAGGAAAGUCUGGUAGCUAAUAACUGCUAGAUCUGACGUUACCUAAAGAAUCAGCACCGGCUAACUCUGUGCCAGCAGCCGCGGUAAUACAGAGGGUGCAAGCGUUAAUCGGAAUUACUGGGCGUAAAGGGUCUGUAGGCGGAUUAUUAAGUCGGAUGUGAAAUCCCCGGGCUCAACCUGGGAACGGCAUUCGAUACUGGUAGUCUAGAGUGUGCAAGAGGAUGGGGGAAUUCCUGGUGUAGCAGUGAAAUGCGUAGAGAUCAGGAGGAACAUCAAUGGCGAAGGCACCUUUCUGGGGCAACACUGACGCUGAGAGACGAAAGCGUGGGGAGCAAACAGGAUUAGAUACCCUGGUAGUCCACGCCCUAAACGAUGUCAACUAACUGUUCGGAGUCACUAAGAUUCUGAGUAGUGAAGCUAACGCGAUAAGUUGACCGCCUGGGGAGUACGGCCGCAAGGUUGAAACUCAAAGAAAUUGACGGGGGCCCGCACAAGCGGUGGAGUAUGUGGUUUAAUUCGAUGCAACGCGAAGAACCUUACCCGGUCUUGACAUGGUAGGAAUCUUGUAGAGAUACGAGAG